rnacentral:rRNA from 1 species
GAUGAACGCUAGCGGCAGGCUUAAUACAUGCAAGUCGAGGGGCAGCGCAGUGUAGCAAUACAUGGGCGGCGACCGGCAAACGGGCGCGGAACACGUACGCAACCUUCCUUUAAGUGGGGGAUAGCCCAGGGAAACUUGGAUUAAUACCCCGUAAUAUUAUGAAGUGGCAUCACUUUAUACUUAUAGCUCCGGCGCUUAAAGAUGGGCGUGCGACUGAUUAGGUAGUUGGCGGGGUAACGGCCCACCAAGCCUGCGAUCAGUAACUGGUGUGAGAGCACGACCAGUCACACGGGCACUGAGACACGGGCCCGACUCCUACGGGAGGCAGCAGUAAGGAAUAUUGGUCAAUGGACGCAAGUCUGAACCAGCCAUGCCGCGUGGAGGAUGAAGGUCCUCUGGAUUGUAAACUUCUUUUAUUUGGGAAGAAACCCACUGUUUCUACGGUGGUUGACGGUACCAGAUGAAUAAGCACCGGCUAACUCCGUGCCAGCAGCCGCCGUAACAC